GGAGUUAGCCGGUGCUUCUUCUGUGAGUGAUGUCCUUCCUGCCGGCUAUUAACCCGCAGGCCUUCUUCCUCACUGAAAGUGCUUUACAACCCGAAGGCCUUCUUCACACACGCGGCAUGGCUGGAUCAGGGUUGCCCCCAUUGUCCAAUAUUCCCCACUGCUGCCUCCCGUAGGAGUCUGGGCCGUGUCUCAGUCCCAGUGUGGCUGAUCAUCCUAUCAGACCAGCUACGGAUCGUCGCCUUGGUGAGCCGUUACCUCACCAACCAGCUAAUCCGACAUAGGCUCAUCCGAUAGCGCGAGGCCCGAAGGUCCCCCGCUUUCCCCCGUAGGGCGUAUGCGGUAUUAGCCUGGGUUUCCCCAGGUUAUCCCCCACUACCGGGCAGAUUCCUAUGCAUUACUCACCCGUCCGCCGCUCGCCACCAGGGAGCAAGCUCCCCGUGCUGCCGCUCGACUUGCAUGUGUUAGGCCUGCCGCCAGCGUUCAAUCUGAGCCAUGAUCAAACUCUGA
rnacentral:rRNA from 1 species